rnacentral:rRNA from 1 species
UACUUGUACCGACUGGAUGAGCAGCGAACGGGUGAGUAACGCGUGGGGAAUCUGCCUUUGAGCGGGGGACAACAUUUGGAAACGAAUGCUAAUACCGCAUAAAAACUUUAAACACAAGUUUUAAGUUUGAAAGAUGCAAUUGCAUCACUCAAAGAUGAUCCCGCGUUGUAUUAGCUAGUUGGUGAGGUAAAGGCUCACCAAGGCGAUGAUACAUAGCCGACCUGAGAGGGUGAUCGGCCACAUUGGGACUGAGACACGGCCCAAACUCCUACGGGAGGCAGCAGUAGGGAAUCUUCGGCAAUGGACGAAAGUCUGACCGAGCAACGCCGCGUGAGUGAAGAAGGUUUUCGGAUCGUAAAACUCUGUUGGUAGAGAAGAACGUUGGUGAGAGUGGAAAGCUCAUCAAGUGACGGUAACUACCCAGAAAGGGACGGCUAACUACGUGCCAGCAGCCGCGGUAAUACGUAGGUCCCGAGCGUUGUCCGGAUUUAUUGGGCGUAAAGCGAGCGCAGGUGGUUUAUUAAGUCUGGUGUAAAAGGCAGUGGCUCAACCAUUGUAUGCAUUGGAAACUGGUAGACUUGAGUGCAGGAGAGGAGAGUGGAAUUCCAUGUGGUAGCGGG